AAACGUAGGAGGCGAGCGUUAUCCGGAUUUACUGGGUGUAAAGCGCGUGCAGGCGGUUUCGUAAGUCGUGCGUGAAAGCUCCCGGCUCAACCGGGAGAGGUCGUGCGAAACUGCGGGACUAGAGACAGGUAGAGGCGUGUGGAAUUCCGGGUGUAGUGGUGAAAUGCGUAGAUAUCCGGAGGAACACCAGUGGCGAAGGCGACACGCUGGGCCUGGACUGACGCUAAGACGCGAAAGCAUGGGUAGCGAACGGGAUUAGAAACCCCGGUAGUCCAUGCCGUAAACGAUGUUGACUAGAUGUUGCGGGUAUGAACUCCUGCAGUGUCGAAGCAAACGUGAUAAGUCAACCACCUGGGGACUACGGCCGCAAGGUUAAA
rnacentral:rRNA from 1 species